rnacentral:lncRNA from 1 species
CCUCCUCCUUUUCCUUCCUCCCUUCCUUCUCCCUCUCCCCGUCGACUGUCUUCUUCCCCGCACCGCCUACGUGCCGCCCAGCUCGCCGCCGCCGUCGCCAGCGCCUUCCUCCCUUCCCGCCGCUCUGCAGUAGCUCCCUUCCCCUUUCCUCCUUUCCGUCGGCAUUGUCAAGAACAAGGGGGGGCUGCCUUCGCCGCUCGCCCUCUUGCCGGCAUGUUUUCGGAGAUCUGGCAUCGGAAAUGAGUUCCUCACCCCCGAAAACCCCGGAAGCAACCCUCCUCCGUCGGAAAUCCUUGCCGGCAGCCUUGGAAAGUGUCGCGUGAGCAGCGACUUUCCGGCCCCGAUCCGCCGCCUUCCGGCCACUUUCCGGCCAAAACUCUUGUACUUCCGGACUCCCCGCAACUUGAGCUUCGCGUAGGCGCUUCCGGAUUUGAAUUCCGACACUGUUGGCAGGACCGGCUUCCGGACCCCAGUGUUUUCUGGACGCGCGAAAUAUUUUAAUUUUUAACUCGAUAAUUCAGCCUCCCCGCCAGCUCCACCCGAGGCGUAGGAGCGGACUGCGGAACGCGUUAAAUCAGUGAUAGUAAAGACCUUCGCCAUCGCACAUUCGACAGUCCGACUUCUUCUUCUUCGGACUUUUGUAAUUAACUUGUACUUAUAUACUUGUCAUUUUUACUCUAGAGAAUCUGCAGUAGGAAAUUUUUAAAUUUAUAUAACUAUUCUGACUCCUGUUGGUAGUAUGAUGAUGUAUUAUGCAAGAUAAUUAUGACUACUUUAUAUUUGGUUAAUUGUAUAUAUGGAUUUGAGGGUUGGUAAGGCUUACUACGGGUUUCGGUGGCCUUAAGCCUACCCAUUCCCUAGUGCCGGUCAUGGGCCCCCAAGGUGGGUCGUGACAAAGUUGGUAUCAGAGCUUAGGUUUAGUUUUUCCUUCGACCUAGGUUAGCUUUCUAAACUACUGCGGAAACUAGGAUAAAUUGAGUAUGUCCUGGCAUGUUUCGUUGAUUCUAGUAUCUGCGCUAUCGUUAGAGAGUCUGUUGGGUUAAUAGCUUGUUGUUCAUUUUCAGCUCUUGCCAAUGCCGAGAACCCGAGCGACUGCAGCAUCGGCCCAGGAAGGCGAAGAUGAGUUUUCUGCUCAGACGGCUCCUCCGGACCCAGCCCAUGGUACCAGAAGGCGAGGUAGGCCUCGAGCAGCUGCCCAACCAGAUCAGGGCGAGGCUCAUGAGGUACAUGGUGCUGGUGAAAUCCCAGUGGAGGCUUUUGUGUCCAGUAUGACUGGGAUGCAGAGGGCCUUAGAGCAGUUGCUAGCCUUUCAGCAGCAGCAGGCUGCUCAGGGUGCAGGAAGCCGUGCUAGUGGGUCAGGUAUUAGGAAUCCGGACGAUGUCCCUAUGUCUGAGUAUACCAAGUUAAGACUUGUGGAGUUUGAUGGGACAGCUGGAGACCCUCUGGACUUUUUGGAUGAGGUUGAAAAGAGGGCGUCUGAUUUGCACUGUUCUGACAAGAGAACCAUCGAGAUGGCCGGGUUUUCCUUGAAGGGAAUAGCAUCCCAGUGGUUCAGAGAUUAUAUCCGCCCCUUUCUGGAUGGGUUGUCGUGGAGGCAAUUCAGAGACAGAUUCGAAGAGUACUUCAUCCCUUUCAGUGUAAGGCAGGAGUACAGGGAGAGGUUUGAAAGGUUAGUCAAGGGAGAAUCAUCUGUGGCUGAGUACACCAGGCAAUUUGUUCAGCUGAGUAGGUAUGCACCAUAUGCUGUGGGGACUAAGGAGCAGAAGAACAGCAAAUACAUUUCAGGGCUGGGCCCAGAGUUUGUUUCCUUGGUUCAAUCUAGGAGGAGCCGUUUCCUAGAAGUUACUGACAUGGCGAGGCAGAUGGAGAUGACGCUGCGAGGGUUUAGUCAAGGGACUGACGAUUAUAGGAAGAAGAAAACCAGGGUUGAGGGUCAGUCCAGUGCGCAGCCUGUCGUGCCGUACUAUGGUAGUGGAAGUUACUCUGGCGGUACCGACCAGCAGACCAGACAGAGAGGUCACCGUGUCCAAAGAAAGGGUAGGCAUAAUCGGAGGAGUAAUCGAGUAUUUCGACCUGGUCAGGGCUUCAGUGGUAGUGGGCAGAGUUCAGGCUACAGCAGCACUAGUUCUGGGGCCAGCACUUGUCGGAUGUGUGGCAGGUCACAUCAGGGACCGUGCCUAACGUCCAGUGGAGCCUGUUUUAGGUGUGGUGAGAUGGGACAUAUGGCUCGAGAGUGUCCUCGCUAUUUCGGUCGACCAGCUUUUCCGCAAGGCUCGUCCGCUAGUGCGACCCGACCAGCUUUUCCUGCAACCCCGGAACAUUUUCAAGAUGGAUCUCAGUUUGUUGGCCAGCAGGGUUGUAGUUUUGGAGGUAGAUCUUCAGGAGGCCGGUCUGGGGGCAGGGUUCAAGGUCGAGCUUCAGGGUCUCAACAGUCAGGCCGGGGGCAAGCUAGAGUGUUUACCCUUACUCCUCAAGAUGCGCGAGCCUCAAAUGCUGUGGUGUCAGGUACUAUUCUUGUUUGUCAUUCUGAGGCUAGAGUUUUGUUAGACCCUGGGGCUACCCAUUCUUUCGUAUCGCCUAGUUUUGCCUUAAGAUUGGAUGUCCAGCCCGUUAGGCUUCCAGUCCCGAUGUCGGUCACUACGCCGUUAAGUGAGGCCUUAGAGACCGAUGUCGUGUAUCCGUCGUGUCCGGUGUCUGUUGAGGGUCGAGAUUUGGUUGCUGACCUAAUUCUUUUAGAUGUAAUGGAUUUUAAUGUGAUUUUGGGAAUGGAUUGGUUAGCUUUGCAUUUCGCCAUGUUGGAUUGCCGGGAGAAACAAGUGACUUUUCGAAUUCCUAGAGACUCAGAGUUCUAUUUUAAAGGUGAGCAGAUUCGUUCUCCCACGAAUCUCGUGUCGGCGAUUACAGCUAGGCGGAUGCUUCGCCGCGGAUGUCAGGGAUAUUUGGCUUUGGUUAGGGAUACCUCGGCAAGGAAAGGUUGCGUCGAAGACGUUCCGGUGGUUUGCGAGUUUCCUGAUGUGUUUCCAGAAGAACUACCUGGAUUGCCGCCCAAUAGAGAGAUAGAAUUCUGUAUCGACGUGAUACCGGGUACAACACCUAUCUCUUUGCCGCCCUAUCGAAUGGCACCGGCCGAGUUAAGAGAGCUAAAGGAGCAGUUGCAAGACCUCCUAGAUAAGGGUUUCAUUAGACCUAGUACGUCUUCUUGGGGUGCUCAUGUUCUGUUCGUAAAGAAGAAGGAUGGUACCUUGCGUCUCUGCAUCGAUUACCGGCAACUGAAUAAGGCGACGAUUCGUAAUCGGUAUCCGCUUCCUCGCAUCGAUGACCUAUUCGAUCAGCUUCAGGGAGCGGUGUAUUUCUCCAAGAUUGAUCUACGAUCAGGGUAUCAGCAGUUAAGGAUCCGUGGUGAAGAUGUGCCAAAGACGGCGUUCAAGACGCGUUAUGGGCAUUAUGAGUUUCUGGUGAUGUCGUUUGGACUCACUAAUGCCCAUGCGGCUUUUAUGGAUUUGAUGAAUCGAGUGUUCAAGGAAUUUCUGGAUCGUUUUGUCAUCGUAUUCAUUGAUGAUAUCUUGGUUUAUUCCAAAAGCGAAGAGGAGCACGCGUGGCACUUGAGGAUAGUACUUCAGACUUUGAGGGAACAUCAAUUGUACGCUAAGUUCUCCAAGUGCGAGUUUUGGUUGGAAAGCGUUGCUUUUCUAGGGCACAUAGUGUCUAAAGAGGGUAUUCAAGUGGACCCUAAGAAAGUGGAGGCAGUGACUGAAUGGCAGAGGCCAACUUCAGUGACUGAAGUGCGUAGCUUUCUAGGGUUGGCAGGGUACUACCGUCGAUUUGUGCAAGACUUUUCGAGGAUAGCAGCGCCUUUGACUAAGUUGACUCAGAAAAAUGUCAGGUUUCAGUGGACUGACGCGUGUGAGAGAAGCUUUCAAAAGUUGAAGGACUGUUUGACUUCAGCUCCGGUGUUGACCUUACCUUCUGGGACUGGUGGAUUCACGGUGUAUUGCGACGCUUCUAGAGUGGGUUUGGGUUGUGUUCUGAUGCAAAAUGGAAAGGUAAUAGCUUAUGCGUCUAGGCAAUUAAAGAAGCAUGAACAAAAUUACCCGACCCACGAUUUGGAGAUGGCAGCAGUAAUUUUUGCAUUAAAGAUUUGGAGGCACUAUCUCUAUGGAGAGACGUGCGAGAUUUAUACGGAUCAUAAAAGCUUAAAGUAUAUUUUCCAACAGAAGGAUUUAAACCUGAGGCAGAGAAGGUGGUUAGAGCUUCUAAAGGACUAUGAUUGUAAUAUUCUCUACCACCCGGGUAAUGCGAAUGUUGUGGCUGAUGCUUUGAGCAGGAAGUCGGUAGGUAGUCUUGCUCAUGUCAGUGUAGAGAAGAGACCGCUGGCUGAAGGGUUGCAUGAACUGUAUGAUCAAGGGUUUCAGGUGGAAAUAUUAGAAUCGGGUGUGAUGUUAGCACAUUUCAGGGUUAGGUCUGUGCUUGUCGACAGAAUCAGGAUGGCUCAGAAUCGGGACCCACAGUUGCAGAAAAUCUUGGAAGAUGUGCAGUAGGGUCGAGCUAAUAACUUUGUUAUAAAUGAUGAUGGCACCCUCAUUAUACAACUUACAGCGUGCAUCCGGGCUCCACAAAGAUGUACCAUGAUUUGAAAGGAAAUUAUUGGUGGAGCGGGAUGAAGAGAGAUGUAGCAGAGUUUGUCUCCAAAUGUCUGACGUGUCAACAGGUUAAAUUAGAGCAUCAGAAGCCGUCUGGUUUACUACAACCGCUUCCUAUACCAGAGUGGAAAUGGGAAAGGAUUACUAUGGAUUUUGUAUCAGGUUUACCCAAGACUUUUGCUGGUUAUGACUCCAUCUGGGUAAUUGUGGAUCGAUUGACUAAGUCAGCGCAUUUUCUUCCGGUAAAGACUACCUAUUCUGUGGCUAAGUAUGCAAGAGUGUAUCUGGAAAGGAUUGUCAGUCUUCACGGCAUCCCGGUUUCUAUAGUGUCUGACAGGGGGCCGCAAUUUACUUCAAGGUUUUGGAAAAAGUUGCAAGAGGAACUUGGUACCAGGUUGGACUUCAGUACGGCCUUCCAUCCUCAGACGGACGGACAAUCAGAAAGGACUAUUCAGACCUUAGAGGAUAUGCUUCGGAUGUGCGUGAUAGACUUUGGUGGUCAAUGGGAUUGGUAUCUACCGUUGGUCGAAUUCGCGUAUAAUAACAGCUAUCAUGUAAGUAUCAAAAUGGCACCUUUCGAGGCCUUGUAUGGUCGGAAGUGUAGAUCCCCCAUAUGUUGGGAAGAAGUUGGUGAACGGAAGUUAGCAGGAUCGGAAUUGGUUCAGAUCACUUCAGAAAAGAUUCCGGUUAUUCGCGAGCGACUGAAGACAGCUUUUAGUAGGCAGAAAAGUUAUGCGGAUCCAAAGCGAAAGCACGUGGAAUUCAGUGUUGGGGAAUAUGUAUUCUUGAAGGUGUCUCCUAUGCGUGGUGUGUUGCGGUUCGGCAAGAAGGGCAAAUUGGCACCUCGUUAUGUGGGACCCUUUGAGAUUAUUGGCAGAAUUGGAGAUGUGGCAUACAAACUAGACNNNGAGAUGUGGCAUACAAACUAGACUUGCCACCGAACUUCUCGCACGUGCAUCCGGUAUUCCACAUAUCGAUGUUAAGAAAGUAUAUUUCAGACCCUUCGCAUGUGUUACAACCACAAAAUGUGGAAGUUGGUGAAGAUUUGACUUACGAGGAGCAGCCAGUCAGGAUUGUGGAUACUCAAGUUCGCCAGCUGCGCUCAAAAAAUUUUCCGAUGGUCAAGGUUUUGUGGCGAAAUCAUUUGUCUGAAGAGUGUACCUGGGAAACCGAGCAGGAAAUGAGAAGCCUCUACCCUCAUUUAUUUCAAUCCUAAGUGGGCCAUGGUUUAAAAUUCGAGGUCGAAUUUCUUUUCUAAGGGGGGUAGAAUGUAACACCCUUAGUUGUAAUAAUAAUAAUUUUAUAUAUAUAUAUAUAUAUAUAUAUUAAAAAAAAAAUCUCUCUCUCUCUUUUUCCCCUCCCCCUCCUCCUUUUCCUUCCUCCCUUCCUUCUCCCUCUCCCCGUCGACUGUCUUCUUCCCCGCACCGCCUACGUGCCGCCCAGCUCGCCGCCGCCGUCGCCAGCGCCUUCCUCCCUUCCCACCGCUCUGCAGUAGCUCCCUUCCCCUUUCCUCCUUUCCGUCGGCAUUGUCAAGAACAAGGGGGGGCUGCCUUCGCCGCUCGCCCUCUUGCCGGCAUGUUUUCGGAGAUCUGGCAUCGGAAAUGAGUUCCUCACCCCCGAAAACCCCGGAAGCAACCCUCCUCCGUCGGAAAUCCUUGCCGGCAGCCUUGGAAAGUGUCGCGUGAACAGCGACUUUCCGGCCCCGAUCCGCCGCCUUCCGGCCACUUUCCGGCCAAAACUCUUGUACUUCCGGACUCCCCGCAACUUGAGCUUCGCGUAGGCGCUUCCGGAUUUGAAUUCCGACACUGUUGGCAGGACCGGCUUCCGGACCCCGGUGUUUUUUGGACGCGCGAAAUAUUUUAAUUUUUAACUCGAUAAUUCAGCCUUCCCGCCAGCUCCACCCGAGGCGUAGGAGCGGACUGCGGAACGCGUUAAAUCAGUGAUAGUAAAGACCUUCGCCAUCGCACAUUCGACAGUCCGACUUCUUCUUCUUCGGACUUUUGUAAUUAACUUGUACUUAUAUACUUGUCAUUUUUACUCUAAAGAAUCCGCAGUAGGAAAUUUUUAAAUUUAUAUAACUAUUCUGACUCCUGUUGGUAGUAUGAUGAUGUAUUAUGCAAGAUAAUUAUGACUACUUUAUAUUUGG